rnacentral:rRNA from 1 species
UACGUAGGGGGCAAGCGUUGUCCGGAAUUAUUGGGCGUAAAGAGCGUGUAGGCGGCCCGGCAAGUCCGCCCGUGAAAGUCCAGGGCUCAACCCUGGAAUGCCGGUGGAAACUGUCGGGCUAGAGUCCGGAAGAGGCGAGUGGAAUUCCCGGUGUAGCGGUGAAAUGACGCAGAUAUCGGGAGGAACACCAAUGGCGAAGGCAGCUCGCUGGGACGGUACUGACGCUGAGACGCGAAAGCGUGGGGAGCAAACAGG